rnacentral:pre_miRNA from 1 species
CCCAGUGUUCAGACUACCUGUUCAGGAAGCUACAAAGGUGUACAGUAGUCUGCACAUUGGUUA